UAUCUGAUUUACAUGCCAAGAGUUUCUUUUGUGGACAAAUCCUCCUGCUUCCUGAGCAUUUGCCAGGGAGAGCCUGUUUGCAGGAAGCGAUGUGUCCUUAGCUGCUCAGGCAGGCUCCUCCCCAUAGAAGCUUUGGGGAUGGAAGAUUCUGGAAGGGCAGUGUGCAGCCUGUGCUAAAGGCAGGCAGGGAGGGGCCAAAUCUGAGACAGUAUUUGUGUCCAUGGACAAGAAGGGAAAGUGUUAGCUCGUUAUUAGGGAGAGAGAGGUUGGGAAAGGGACAGGCUGGGUGAAUUAAUAGCAACAGCAGUAAAGCAGCUUUGUGUGAGUGACCCUGAUAUGAUUGACUGUAUGUUCAGGACAUGUAAUGAUGGUGGAGCCUUCCUACAAAUACUGCACUAAGGAAAUGCACAGUUGCUGGAGUUCUCCACAGAGCCCUCUAUUAGAAGACUUUGUCAUGGUAUGGAAGUUCGACACAUCUGCCACCGGAGUGCUACAGAUGGUUCAACUCAUUAGCCUACAGAACUCUAACCGAACAUCACGAGGAGACCUGGGAUCUCACUUGGACUAAAUAUUAAGCUUGCCUCCUGUUCAAUGUCAUUACAUUCCUUUUUUUUUUUUAAAUAAAAAGCUAACCCACCCCA
rnacentral:lncRNA from 1 species